rnacentral:rRNA from 1 species
UACGUAGGGGGCAAGCGUUGUCCGGAUUUAUUGGGCGUAAAGAGCGUGUAGGCGGCUGGGUAGGUCCGUUGUGAAAACUCGAGGCUCAACCUCGAGACGCCGAUGGAAACCCCCCAGCUAGAGUCCGGAAGAGGAGAGUGGAAUUCCUGGUGUAGCGGUGAAAUGCGCAGAUAUCAGGAGGAACACCGGUGGCGAAGGCGGGUCUCUGGGCCGAUACUGACGCUGAGGAGCGAAAGCGUGGGGAGCGAACAGG